CCUACGGGUGGCAGCAGUGGGGAAUAUUGGACAAUGGGCGAAAGCCUGAUCCAGCCAUGCCGCGUGUGUGAAGAAGGCCUUCGGGUUGUAAAGCACUUUCAGUGGGGAAGAAAGCCUUGGGGCUAAUACCCUCGAGGAAGGACAUCACCCACAGAAGAAGCACCGGCUAACUCCGUGCCAGCAGCCGCGGUAAUACGGAGGGUGCGAGCGUUAAUCGGAAUUACUGGGCGUAAAGCGCGCGUAGGCGGUCUGAUAAGCCGGUUGUGAAAGCCCCGGGCUCAACCUGGGAACGGCAUCCGGAACUGUCAGGCUAGAGUGCAGGAGAGGAAGGUAGAAUUCCCGGUGUAGCGGUGAAAUGCGUAGAGAUCGGGAGGAAUAACAGUGGCGAAGGCGGCCUUCUGGACUGACACUGACGCUGAGGUGCGAAAGCGUGGGUAGCAAACAGGAUUAGAUACCCCUGUAGUC
rnacentral:rRNA from 1 species